GAUGAACGCUGGCGGCGUGCUUAACACAUGCAAGUCGAACGAAGUGGCGGAUGGGCGAGUAACCCGUGAGGAACCUGCCUUUCACAGGGGAAUAACACUUGGAAACCAGUGCUAAUACCGCAUAGUGAAAGAUGGCCUCGCGCCUGAUUAGCUAGUAGGUGAGGUAACGGCUCACCUAGGUGAUGAUCAGGAGCCGGACUGGGGGGUGAUCGGCCGCAUUGGGACUGAGACACGGCACAGAGGCCUACGGGAAGCAGCAGUGGGGAAUAUUGGGCAAUGGCGCAAGCCUGGCCCAGCAACGCCGCGUGAAGGAAGACGGUCUUCGGAGUGUAAACGUCUUUAGACAGGGACGCGGUACCUGUAGAAUAAGCCACGGCUAACUACGUGCCAGCAGCCGCGGUAAGUC
rnacentral:rRNA from 1 species